UGAAACUCCUUUUCGUUGAGAUAAACUGUGAAAAUCAAACAAAUGUCACCUCUGUCACUGACUGCACUAAACUUGCCAGCAUUCUUAUAUCUUAUGGCUAUUUUAAAGUCAGUGUAGCAAGGCUUAAAGUAAAAAAACAAGUCAAGAGUUUUCUAGCAGCAACAUAAAGUUGAGAUUCUGCUUUUUCCCAGCUAAUAAUCUACGAGGCUGAGCCCUUGAAUGUUUUACAUUGUUUCUAGUUUAUACAUUGCUAUGGUAACAUUGGAUAUUUAACCCUUUAUAUACUGUUCCGGUACUAUAACACUGCUACCGGUGCCGGUGCAGUAGCCACUGCGAUAAAUUAAUUGAUAAAUUACUGAAUUUCUCCUCCUCUUGUAAGCAGUUUGGCAAAGACGCUCAAGAUAUAAGCAGCAAACGUAAACUCAAUUCCCUAGCUCUAUCAAGACACACCCAGUUAUUGGAGAUACUAGAGAUACCACAAUUAAUAGAGACAUGUGUACGUAAUGGCUAUUAUGAGGAAGCACUGGAACUGAGUGCACACGUGAAAAGAAUGGAAAAGAAACACAACAACAUACCUAUCAUUAAAAAUAUUGCGUCUGAUAUAGAGCGCUGCUCUAAUCUGAUGUUGAUGGAGUUGAUCCAGCAAUUGCAAGGAAGCAUACAGCUACCGUCUUGUCUCAGGUUGGUCGGUUUGCUGAGGAGGAUGGACGUUUUCAACGAAUCUCAAUUGAGACUCAAGUUUCUACAGUCGAGGGAUUACUGGUUGCAGUCAGUCCUGUCUUUAAUACCUAAGGAUGAUC